AAAGGAGGUACCAUUAAGGUGGAGCCUUCUCCAUGGCAUGGAUUAGCGACACAAUGUUUGGCAAGGCUUCCAAGAUUAUCAGAGGACCCUUCACUCAUUCUGAAAGCUGCUUCUGGUGGAAGAGUUUGUUGAUCCAAUGUGUUAGGCAAAUAAUGCAUAAAUAUCCUCUACACAUUCUAAGAAUCCUGCCUUUAAAACCCCUAUUUUACUUUGCAGAGCUCCACAUUUCCCAGACUUCUUGACCACAAAACAUGUUAUUUGUCCAACACUGUAUACAUUUGGGAAACUGCUUAGGAAAGAUUGCACAUGGAUGUCUGAGGGAUAAUGCAGUAUUUAGGUUGACUCUCAGGUUUAGCUCUGACCUGGCAGACUGGGAAAAGAACUCAUUCGAAUCUGGCUAUGGGCAGACAGAGGAGAGGUGAGCCCCAGGGGUAGGUGGCAGGGUUAGGAAAACCAUCCACUUCUGAAGGUUUGGUCUUGGGGCUCCUGGCAAACUUCCAUUGAAGAAAGAAGCAAGGCACCAAGGGGGAAAGUGUGCAGUGAGGGAAGAGCCACAGCCACAUUAUUUUGGGUAGGCUGGGGAAACUAAAGGAAUUCGCAAAACUCUUUGCCUCCAAUCUGACAGCAUCUCUUGUCUCCAAGGAUGGGAAGCAGAGUUGCCUAGCUCUGGAGUGGAGUGGGGGUGGGGAACUGGACUGAAGAAGGCAGACUAGAGUCUGUUUGGGUCACACAAGGUGCAAAAAGUAACUGUGAUAAGUAUAAAGCCAAAGCCUCACUCAGAAAGAAGCACAUUGAGGAGUGUGAGGGCAGAAGAAAGGGGAAUAUAUCAGUUUCCACCUCAUAAAGAUGAAUGCCCUGCCCUCCUGCCCUCUUCUAACCUUGGGUCUGAGCACAAACAAUCUGAGUGGCACUUUCUCUCCUCUCUCUCCCUCCCUGUCCCAAACAGAGGCACUGGUGACUAGUGGUCCCAGGCCCUGAAAAGCCACAGGUAUUUGGUCUGUUCACUUUUCAAGGGGCAUCCAACCACCUGCCCCGUGUCCUCUCUCCUUCACAGCUAGUGAGCUAAGCGAGGACAGCUAUGAAGACGAACGAGUCUAUGAGGAGGAAGGAAGUGAAGUGAACUCAGAAGAUUCUGAUAUCCAGGAAGUGCUGCCAGUCCCAAAUGCUUGGGCCAGCCUGGGGAAGAAAGGGAAAAUCGGAUAAACAUCUUGCCCUUUAGGGCCUCUCUAUA
rnacentral:lncRNA from 1 species